CCUAUGAAGUUUCUAUAUAACAGAAUGCAGUGUUCCUUGUUCGAUGAAAAGAUUUAGGUUCCAUCGUUUGGGAACACUUAGUGGCACAUCUUUCAUUAUAUUGAGUAAAGAGCGCACAACUUAGAUAAGCUCCAGUGGAAAUUACUUCCCAGAGUAAUUGGAAUCGGCAUAAGCUUGGAUAAGGAUCCAAUCUCCUAUCUAUGUUUGGCAUGAUACUCUUAAGCUGGUUCUUGUGUCCCCGUUUAUUCUAUUAACGCUUAUACUUUAUGGUAACAACUUGAGAAAGGCAAAGGUUCAACCAUGUGAUCAUUGAUUGUGUUUCUUACAAGGUCUUAACUGGAUUUGCUCUGCCAGUUGAUCUCAUGAAAGGAACAUGCUGCUGGUUUGAGCUUUUCUUGUACAUUUGACUGAUUAACGAGUAAAACUCAUUGAUUGUCACUUUUGUGGUUGUCAUUAUUAGUCAAGGGGGACACGAUUUUCAUCUAGAUUAUAGGGUACUGGGAUGUCUCAAGCAGAACUUUCUAUAUGUCCCAGUGAUGGCCUUAACUGCAACCGCCACUCAGUCAGUUCGAUAUCCUAAAAGCUCUUGGGGUACCCCAUGUUCUGAUAUAUUAGAUCUAGUCUGUCAAAGCUUGGGGACCUAAGGUUUGACAGACUAGAUCUAAAAUACGAGGACCUAGGAACCACUGAAGCAGCUUGGAGGGCUGCUAAAAAAUUGUUUUGCUAAUUUUUGUGGCAUAGUAUAUUACUUUUCGAAGAGUGGAUUUGUUAAUGUCGCAAAAUACUUGAAUGAGAAGCGCCAUAUAAAAAUGGUGUACUAUCAUGCUGGAUUAGUAGCUUGUCACUGUUCAAAAGAAAUGGCAUACUGGAGAGGUCCAGAUUGUAUGUGCUACCAUUGCCUUUGGGAUGGGAAUAGACAAACCUGAUGUUGUAAGUCGAAAUGGACUCUGGCCUUUGCCUAUUUCUUACGUUUUAGAAGUCGAUAAACGUGGUAAAAAGACCCAGAGAAGCAGAGAAGAGGAGGGUGGCCAGAUACAAGCUUUAUUUGGUCGAGGGCAAGUUCAAGGCUUCUUUCAAACAAGGGUUCCGGUGGUUGAAGCGCAAAUUGCUCGAGCUUUAUGCGUCGAUUUUUAAUAUGUAGAAAUUACAGAAUAUCAUGCUCAUUGUCAUCAAGAGAGAAAAGGAUGAAAUUGGUCGGGAGGAAACAAAGAGGUUUGUUUUGUUUAUUGGCUAAUCAUCUUAAUAUGUAUCUAAUGGUAAUUAAGUAUUCGGAAGAGUGCCACAAUGUUCGAUCUUUC